rnacentral:rRNA from 1 species
AACGGCGAGUGAAGCGGUAACAGCUCAAAUUUGAAAUCUGGGUCUUUCAGGCUCCGAGUUGUAAUUUGUAGAAGAUGCUUCGGGUGCGGCUCCGGUCUAAGUUCCUUGGAACAGGACGUCAUAGAGGGUGAGAAUCCCGUAUGUGAUCGGUUGCUUGCGCCCAUGUGAAGCUCUUUCGACGAGUCGAGUUGUUUGGGAAUGCAGCUCCAAAUGGGUGGUAUAUUUCAUCUAAAGCUAAAUAUUGGCCAGAGACCGAUAGCGCACAAGUAGAGUGAUCGAAAGAUGAAAAGCACUUUGGAAAGAGAGUUAAACAGUACGUGAAAUUGUUGAAAGGGAAGCGCUUGCAACCAGACUUGCGUGUCGUCGAUCAUCCGGGGUUCUCCCCGGUGCACUCGGCUUCACUCAGGCCAGCAUCGGUUUCGGUGGUUGGAUAAAGGCCUUGGGAAUGUAGCUCCUCUCGGGGAGUGUUAUAGCCCUCGGUGCAAUGCAGCCUACCGGGACCGAGGACCGCGCUUCGGCUAGGAUGCUGGCGUAAUGGUUGUAAGCGACCCGUCUUGAAACACGGACCAAGGAGUCUAACAUCUAUGCGAGUGUUUGGGUGUCAAACCCAUACGCGUAAUGAAAGUGAACGGAGGUGAGAACCCUUAAGGGUGCAUCAUCGACCGAUCCUGAUGUCUUCGGAUGGAUUUGAGUAAGAGCAUAGCUGUUGGGACCCGAAAGAUGGUGAACUAUGCCUGAAUAGGGUGAAGCCAGAGGAAACUCUGGUGGAGGCUCGCAGCGGUUCUGACGUGCAAAUCGAUCGUCAAAUUUGGGUAUAGGGGCGAAAGACUAAUCGAACCAUUAACCUCACUAGGUGGUUAAGUGGGUGCUGAAAAGGCAGCCCUAGUCCCCGUAGCCGGGGCGACACUUUCAAAUUGUUUGGGGACCACCCGCUAUAAAUUCCAAGCUACCGCAGCCGGACGGAAACGUCAGGUGCGCAC